UACGAAGGGGGCUAGCGUUGUUCGGAAUUACUGGGCGUAAAGCGCGCGCAGGCGGCUAUCCAAGUCAGUGGUGAAAGCCCGGAGCUCAACUCCGGAACUGCCAUUGAAACUGUUUAGCUUGAGGAUGAGAGAGGUGAGUGGAAUUCCCAGUGUAGAGGUGAAAAUUCGUAGAUAUUGGGGAAGAACACCGGUGGCGAAGGCGGCUCACUGGCUCAUUACUGAGCUCAGGCGCGAUAGCGUGGGGGAUCAAAACAGGAUUAGAUACCCC
rnacentral:rRNA from 1 species